UACGGGGGGGGUAAGCGUUGUUCGGAAUUACUGGGCGUAAAGGGCUCGUAGGCGGCCAACUAAGUCAUACGUGAAAUCCCUCAGCUUAACUGGGGAACUGCGUGUGAUACUGGAUGGCUUGGAUGUGGGAGAGGGAUGCGGAAUUCCAGGUGUAGCGGUGAAAUGCGUAGAUAUCUGGAGGAACACCGGUGGCGAAGGCGGCAUCCUGGACCGGCAUUGACGCUGAGGCGCGAAAGCUAGGGGAGCAAACGGG
rnacentral:rRNA from 1 species